AUAAACCGGAGGAAGGUGGGGAUGACGUCAAGUCAUCAUGGCCCUUACGGCCAGGGCUACACACGUGCUACAAUGGCGCGUACAGAGGGCUGCAAGCUAGCGAUAGUGAGCGAAUCCCAAAAAGCGCGUCGUAGUCCGGAUCGGAGUCUGCAACUCGACUCCGUGAAGUCGGAAUCGCUAGUAAUCGCAAAUCAGAAUGUUGCGGUGAAUACGUUCCCGGGCCUUGUACACACCGCCCGUCACACCAUGGGAGUGGGUUGCACCAGAAGUAGAUAGCUUAACCUUCGGGAGGGCGUUUACCACGGUGUGAUUCAUGACUGGGGUGAAGUCGUAACAAGGUAACCCUAGGGGAACCUGGGGUUGGAUCACCUCCUUACCUUAA
rnacentral:rRNA from 1 species